GCUGAGCACGAGCGUGGAAGGAGGCCCAGCGCCUUCGGUGGUGGUGCAGAGGCUGGGGCCGUUCCGGGCUGGAGCAGCUCUGGUUCUUCCUUCCAGGGACCUACCCUCAGAGGCUGCACACCUCGGCUUGCCUCCCCGCUGGGAUACUUGUAAGGACAGCAUACAAGAGGCCGUGAGCGUGAAACCACUCUCAGACUCCAGAUCAAGGUGCUGCUGGAAUCAGGCCACUUGAGUGAAGGGAAAGCAGGAGAGAAGGACAUCAUCGUGAACCAGGAGGAAGCAGGCAGGGCACGGCCUUUGAACAAAUGACACAGAUCAAGGACGCAGCAUAAACCGAAUAGAAUCAAACGAGUCAAGAUGGCAGUCUCUCCCCAGGCAGCAUGCCCACGUGACCCCUUUUGGCCGGGGGACCUUAGUGAGAGUCAGCUUGUGAUGGCUUCUGGGAGAGCGUCUGCCGUCACGGCAAAGGAGCCAACAUGGAUGGUGCCGCCUUCCCACCUCCUUCCUGCCUUGAACGCACAUUCCACCCAGCUCUGGCACCAUCUUGCAACCAUGAAAGAAAGGCAAGAAAUACACAGAGAUGUCAGCCCUGACAUUGCUGAGAUGGGAAAUUAUCAUUAGUGUCCGCCUCUGUCCUGUUACAUGUGACAAGUCAACUCCUGUUUAAAC
ensembl:lncRNA